CAUAAAUUAGAUUUAUUAUUUCUCUGUCACAGUUUCAUAGGUUCCAUGGUAGGUUUUACAUUAUAAAGUUUCUGUUUCCUCCUUUAUUAUUCAUGGUCAAAAAUAGCAUGACACUAGUCUAAGAUCCUGUGAGCUACCCGGCUCUGGGCCUAGCUCUGCCGCAGUUACGUGGGGUAGAGUCUUGUGCCAGGGGCAGAGUCUUUGCAGAAUGAGCAGUGGUCCUGGAGCUGAUGGUCUCAUCACAAAGGCAGUGGAGACCUGCCCAGGUGUGUGCACUCACCUGGACCCCUGUCUGCUGAGCACACCAAGCCCUGCCUCCAGAACCAUCAAAGAAAG
rnacentral:lncRNA from 1 species